AGAGGGACAAAUGAAGGACAAGUCUGAAAUAACGUGGUGUACAUGUUAUAUAUGACCGAGGGAUGGGGCGGACUGUUUUAGUGUAGCAAUAAUCCUUCUGAUCAACUACUGAUACUACUUUUAUCAAAAAAUAACAGUUUUAGCCUCAUUUCACAUUUUUCAUCUUUCCAUGCCAGUCACUACUGGCAGCUUGUUAUUGAUCAAGGAAUGUAGGCGUAUACUACUUUGGAACUUGCAGUGUGUGUCAGCUAAGUGAUUAAACUCUAAACAUAAAUGACAGAGGAAGAAUCUGAAAAGGGAUUUUGACUUGUUUUGGAAAUUGAGGUUUAUUCCCAGAUUAAAAAGGUCACCCCACAUCACUGCUUGGUCCAAGGCGUAGGCGCUUUUUAAAAAAAAAAAUUGUUUUGUGGGUUACACCCCAAUUACAGCAUCCGCGACUGGAAUCUGUGACUGAACCACAGCGGUGGGCAGACAGCUGUCGAGGAGAUGCGAGCCAAAAUAGCCACUAAUUUUCAGUCCUGCUCACAUACCUCGGAUGCCAACGAGCUGCACCUUUCAGGACGGCUCUGCUCCGGUGCAUACCCAUCACGUUUGAGAUGUUCCGCAUAACACAUACAAUAUUACAAAUGUUGUUGCUAUGCAUACAAAAGGCUUAACCUAUAGUAAUUUAGAUUAUUCAUCAUGUGUACCCCUCGGAUGUCUUCACAUUUGCAUUGCCAGUGAACCAUGAACAUAAAUAUAAAUGUUUCCUAACAUAUGAAAAUAGAGAGACACUACAUGGCCUUGAGUGCACACAUUCAGUAAAGCAGGCUGAUAUACAUAUCACACACACACACACACACACUCAAAACUCCAGAGCAGCAUCAGCAUGGCCCGCCCGGUUCCACAACACUCAGGUCCCAGACAUAUGCCUGCUUUUCUUAAAAUAGAUGGCCUGUAAAUAAGGGCUGUGAACUCAAUCAUAGGUGGCUCGCGUGCAAAUUAGUCACCGCCAUCGGCAGGUUCUCAUCGCAUACUCGCCACAGCGUAAAUUGUGGCAGAAAAGGACAUCAGAAGACUUAUUGGAGGAGUGCAGAUGGAGCACUAGGCGAGCCAGAAGCAUGGCAUCACAUGGGGACACACCUCAUUGGCAGCUUGUACAAGAAUGUUCUGUGGUAAGAGCCAAUCAUGGUCGGGCCCGGAGUUUGAGCCACCAUAGUGAAGAGGUGGAGGCUUUUUUUAAUGCGCUCUAGUUGAAUUUAUGUUUCUGAGUAAUAAAACAAAAAUUGCAGCAAGCUCAUAAGUCUUUGGUGAAAAUCCACAGAUUUAUAUCUAAUAGCUUUGAGAUGCCAUGCCAUGUUACAUUUGUACAUAAAUAGUGUAUAAUAUGCAAAACGCCUCAAAUUGCCACCCUGUAAGGACUCGACAAACUUAAUUAUGGCAUUUUAUGUGCCAUAUUUUGCCCACUGAGGCCUGAAAGUCCCUGCCUCUUGAACUUUCCCAGAAUCAGGAGCGCCAACCAGAUGAAGUUCAUGCAUGACAUUUCUGAAGACAUUAUACAUAUCAAAAGAUAAGCCUCCCCACAUCUCCUCCUAACACGUCUCCGUACGAUUGACUGGUCUGCACUUGCCUUCAGCGAACAACUGCACAACAGGUGCAAAUUAAAAUGAAAACAGGGCUUUCAAAUGUGGGAGGGGAGGCAGGGGGGAGGAGGGUGGCAGGCAGGCAGGCAGGAGGAGGGUGGGAGUGCGGUGACCUGCCUCGAAUACCAAUCGACAGAAGAAACAAAACCUUUUCAAGAGGUGUGAUCACAAGGGUUUAGGCAAGUUCAGACUCAGUAAUGCUCCUUGGAGAUGACAAAAAAGGCAACUGAGGCUGGAGACCCAGGAGUGGAGAGAGACGUUAGGAAUUCCUGGGUGGUCCACAUCUACCUUGGUACAAUUGAUAAUGUGCUUCUCUUUGAAAGUUGUACAUUUAAUUUGAAAGAGAAAAGCCUUUACCUGUUUAACUUCACAUCUAGAUGAUUGAAUCAUUUCAGUUCGUCAAAAUUAGGAAUCUCUCAACUUGAUUCAAAACAACAAGAUUAUAAUUUUGGAAUUCACCUCUGUGCCCCAUCACCCCUGAGGUUUUGAACUUUUCUCAGCAAUGUCCCAUCAGCUCUGUGUCCCCCAACGUCCAGAGGAGGGGGCAGCCGCACGAGGCUGGUAGAACAAAAGGCCAAGAGGCUUGGGAAGCUAUCAACCCGUUGCUGUGAACCUGAUCUCUGGAUGCAGAUUCAAUGACGGCGGAGCAGGGGCCAGCUGAAUGAAAUUAUCUAAGGCUGGACAGGUUUUAAAGGGCCUAUUCUUCCCCAAUAAAAGGAGCGAGGGUGCUUCUUUUUGUUUAGCAACACAUCCACCGCAGCAACGCACACCGUUCUGACUUCAAUACUCCCACAUAAGGAAUGCAGCACUGUGGACCUUCUGCUCAACAAACUUUUCAGGGCACGAUUGAGAAUUUGGGUCUUCGAAGUAAAUCCUGGAGAAGCAAAGUGGAGCUUUCAGUUUUAUUUUUGUCACCAGUUUGAACCAUUUUCUGUCUCCUGCUGUUUUUUUUUUUUUUUUAUCUCUCGAGACGUGUUGUUCUCAAGUUUCUGAACAAAUUUAAGCAUGGGGGCGUUGAACUGUCUCCGAAAGCUACAGUAGACACAAUCUUCUCUGAACGUCAGCUGUCUCCUCCGCGUUCAACGUAUACCUCCAAGAAGGCAAAAUGACAGUGGGGUGCUCAUCAAGUCAAACGCGUAGUAUUAACGUCAAGAAAGCCGCCAUUGUUUAGGUGCCACCGCUGACAAGAGCCUCUCCCUCUCCGAGCAUGAAGCAUCUAUUGGUAUUGUGUCACGCAACAAAGUAAUUCUAACCUACUAAUAUUUUGCAGGCAGUUAUUUCGUCCCCCCCCCCAAACCUCGCUCUUAAUCAGCCUUUUGUGUCGCUGAGGAGAGAGAAAGACAAAGAAAAGAUAAUGUUUACUUCUCAAAUGCCUCUCCUUUUCUCUCCUUUUCUUACCUUAAGUGUCAUCCUUGACAAAAGCAAUUACGGCUGACGUUUUACAAACUCUUGCUACCUGUUUGAUAUUGCUUUCUUCUCCCCUCUGUUUUAUUUCUCCCACCAUUUAAGGUAAAUAAAGGGAGCCUCUUUGACUUGAGUUGUUCAGAUAAUUAAAAUGACACAUGUGCAGCGCAAUUCUUGUUUAAUAUCGGGUUUUAAACUAUCUGACAUAACCCUUUCACAGGCCUGGCAUUAUUCUGUCACUCACAAAAAAGUACAGAGGGGAGAGGAAUAUUGUAUAUUGAUUAGGACGGCUAGAAGCAUCAGCAGUGACAGCCUGAGAGAGAACCAGAGAGCAAGGGAGAAAGUCUUAUUAAAAUCUCAUCAUUUCUUUGAUGAAGAUAAAUAAAGAAGAAAAAAAAAAACAAUGGCACAUGUAAUACUUCAGCUGUGACAGUUGUAUUCUGCAGAUACUGAGAAGCCAGUGGAAUUAAUUUAGUGCUGGGAAACAAACUCCAAAUCUAAAAUGAUUGUAUUUACAAAGCGUCAGGUUUGACAGUAAACAAAUGGCUCCAGUGAUCAAAAACGCCUUUAAUGUCGGAGUCAAAAUCAACUCCAACUGCAAAACCGUGUGUGCUUAUGACAACAGUUGUCUGACCACAUGCUGCAUUCGAAGACACCCAGAGUCACUCGGAGCAAUAAGCGGCCACCAACUUGUGCCUUUGAUGUUGACCCCAUGCAUCCGUAUGUAUAGUAUGUGCGCAUGGAAUUUCGUUCAAGUUGAGAGUGUGUGACACAAAAUAGAAUAUUAGAAAAUGAGCUUGUGUUCACAUUUGUAGUGAGUCUUUGACAAUUUGGUCAAACAUCUGAAAGGCAAAGUGCCUGGUUAAAAGGUCAAUGUCAUGCAAACCCACAUCUAUCCUUUUUUUUAACAUCAAAACUGGUUUUAACCUGCUUAAAAAUGUUGGAAAACAUCCUUACCUCACUUAAUUUCAAGCCAAAUAAAGAAGCAAUUUGCAAGUUUGCACAGUUACAACCUGUCAGCUAUGGAUAGCUGAUUUUUGUUCAAGAGCUUCAUUAACCAGAUAUUCAGUAAUGCAACACCAUUAAACCAAAAGUCCAAUUCUUAGCAGCUAGAGGCAGGGCGGUAGAGGAGAGUUUCAGGUAUUUAGCAUCAAGAAGAUUUCACUCCAAUACCUAAAAUUGGUUUGUGCAAGUAGGGUGAAUCUGAGAGAAAGCAAAACUUUUCUCCCAUUUGCAACGUAUUUUAACUUAAAAAUCUUCCCUUCUACAGCUGUGAAAGCCACGUUCAGAGGUGCUACACCUGCACUCUGCUGAGGAAAACCAUUUCACAAUGCUAACAAGUAUAAUCACAUUUAUUUAACGAUCCCAAAGUAGUCGUCCAGUGCCCAGAGGACGCUGCACUAAAAGCCCUUCCUGCUGGAAUCUCAGAGCCAGAGAGAAAGAGAGCUCUUUCUGUUCAGCAGGCCAACGGUAGAGGUGAUCGCUGCAGGGAGAAUGACUAACACCCACAUUCACGCUCUCACGCUAACCCCGGCUGACUUUUUAGUUGAGUGUCGAGGCUUAGCUCCAGGUGACACGCUCGGCCUCCUACGCCGAUAAUGAGCCAGGACAUUCUCCCUAUUGGACGAUAACUGCUCACGCUCGCUCCCUGUCUCAUGAAUGUGAGCGAAGCGGAUCACCUGGAUGGCUGCGAGGGAGAUGGGGAAGCAGGAGUGCUCUGUUAGUCAGUGUGUGUGUUUGUGUGUGUGCGUGGGAGGGCAUUAAGGUGGAAGCGAGGUCGCUGCCUUGUGGCUACGGCCAGCGGUAGCGGAUUCUCAUGAUGACCUUUUGUCUGCCAUUGUUCCUGUCUGCAACAGUUUAAGCACUUCCUCUGGUAAUGAAAACAGAGCGGCUGACAGAGACGUUUUCAUGUUGUUUUCGUGACCCGAACGAGAUGCCAGAGCCUCCUGCAAUGCUUGUUCAAGCCAGAGGGCACGGUACAAGGUGCAAAGGGGGCCAAUGUCUACACAUUUUCCCAUUUGAGAAGCAUGUGUUCGUGGGGUGACAACCAGCCACCCACUGCACUGCAGAGAGGAACCAAUCAGGCUUCAACACCUUGACUCGUCUUUCCGAAUGUGGCUGUUGCUGCUGAGCUGCCUCACCCACCUCAAUGUCAGUACUACAAAUUGGCUUCCAACAGGAACUCAAGGUGCCAAAGAGCCAUUAUACAGACAAAGGCUUGAAGUCUACCCAGGGAUUAAUGUGUCAAAAUCAUUGUGUGAUACACAGGAAUCAACCCUCUUCAUUAGGGCUUUCUAAGGAACGAGACAGAUCUCCUCUCUGCCAACAUCCGUGCACUCUGCUCUUCUUGUUGUAAGAUAAAUUGAGCUUUUUUUUUUUUACAGGGAGGAUUUGGACAUCUCAGGCAUUUACCUGAUUCUUUUAGUAUGAGGUGCUACAGUAGGCUCCCCAUAAAUAUGUGGAUCAUCAUCUCUAUAGCUUUAAAUGAAAACCUGUAGUUUCAUAGGGUGGACUAAAUAAUACGUUUUCUAUUCUAUGCCACCAAGGCCCAACAUUUUGUUGAUUUUCACUCCAACUGAACACUACAAUUGUUUACUUGGACUUUAAUAGCCCAAAUUUGACAAUAUCUAUUUGACAAUACCUGUUCAAAAUGUAGUUUCACAGGCUGUGAAGAAUUUAAAAUGAUAUAAGUCAUAGCAUAUUGUUCCCCAAAAAUACAGGUAUUCAAUGUACCAUUACAAGAGUCUGAGCUGAGCCCAACAUCCAGAAAAGCAGCUGAUAUAUUGGUGGAUGCAUCAUCAUGAUGAAACGCAACAACAAAACGCCUGCACCACUGGGCGACAACAGGCCCGAUUGUCAGCGAAGCCCAUCUCCAAUUAAACAAAGUUGUAAUCUGCCCCUGACAGAGCGGAUUAUGCUUUGUCCUGGUGGGGGCCUCAUGGGGGACGAAGGAGGAGGAGGAAGGAGGUGGUUAACCAUGGCUGGCGACUUAAUUUCCUGUGAAUACGCCCUUGUAUCCUCCCAUGGAGUUACCUGACUCAGCGCAGUCAGUCGGCUGGGUGGCUGACUGGCUGGUUGGUCGGCUGACUUGCCGUCUGCUUGUGGGAAUCAAAUCCUGUCCAAGAUAACAGCUAAUCAUUUGUCACCCCGAGAAGCAAUUCCCUCAAAUCACCCGGGAAGACAGCGCCACUUUAUUCUGUGGCGUUGUCAGGAUGGCAAGAAAUUACAUUCGGCCAUGUUUUUCCUCCUCAUCUACCCGCCUCCAAAUCUCUCCUGAGCCCCAUUUGGAAUGACAGAACAACAGCUGACAAGAUUGGAAAUGACUGUCUUUCCAACCCCAAACACAGACAUACACAUGCAACUACACGUUUCUAUUACUCUACCUGUGAGGAUGUUCUUUAAAAAGAUUUUUUUUCAUCAACUCUGACCCAAAACCAACCCUAGUGUCAGUUUAACCCCAAACCUGGGCCAUAAAAAGGCAAAAUCAGCUAACAUGUAUGGAAGAAUCUUUGUUUUUUCAAACCUUGUGAGAACAUGUGGUCCUGAAAUACAAGAACACAUAAUCACACAGGAGCUUUGGGAAACUGUGGGACAACACAUGUUGGCAAAUACAUGCAUGCAGGCUAGUAUAAAACACACACACACACACACACACACACACACACAUGCUGUAGCCUGUCCAUGCAGCUGUUUCCUUUUGGGAUUCCUUGAGUUGUUACACUGUGACAUUCUCUCUGCUUUCUCAGUUAGACAAUCAUUUGGAUGGAACAGUGUCCAACAACAUGGCCCUAAAGCUCAAAAGUUACUUCUGCAGGGGCCUCAACAUGUUCACAAACUAAAAGUUCCUUGAUGAUGGGAAUCAUUUGCAAAUGUGACACCCAAGACAUUUAGGAAAUGCUCUUGUCCAACACAGCUUACAUAACUGAUAUACACAACACAAUUUUGUGGGCAAAGGCUGUGAUCAAGUAUAUCUACACCUUUCUUUUUUGUCUCAGCAAGCAGUUGAACAUGUCUCAACUUUUCCUUUGACAGACAUAAACCGCCUCUUACAGUUUCCUAGUGAACUUUAGCUUUGUCCUAUGUUUUGAAAUUUGUACCCAUUCUCUUGUUCUUGAGCAAGAAGAGCCAUUUCAUCAGCAUAAAUGUUUAUUUCUGUAUUCUGUGUGUUAGCAAACUCAUGCUAACUAGGCAGCUUGCCAGUUUCUGUUGAACUUUGUGUUGGCUUUCAAUAAAAAUGACAAUUCUCUUAGUCCUCUUUGAAA